AUUGAACGCUGGCGGCAGGCUUAACACAUGCAAGUCGAGAGGAGAGAGGUAGCUUGCUACUGAUCUUAGCGGCGGACGGGUGAGUAAUGCUUAGGAAUCUGCCUAUUAGUGGGGGACAACAUUUCGAAAGGAAUGCUAAUACCGCAUACGUCCUACGGGAGAAAGCAGGGGAUCUUCGGACCUUGCGCUAAUAGAUGAGCCUAAGUCGGAUUAGCUAGUUGGUGGGGUAAAGGCCUACCAAGGCGACGAUCUGUAGCGGGUCUGAGAGGAUGAUCCGCCAAACUGGGACUAAGACACGGCCCAGACUCCUACGGGAGGCAGAAGUGGGGAAUAUUGGACAAUGGGCGGAAGCCUGAUCCAGCCAUGCCGCGUGUGUGAAGAAGGCCUUAUGGUUGUAAAGCACUUUAAGCGAGGAGGAGGCUACUUUAGUUAAUACCUAGAGAUAGUGGACGUUACUCGCAGAAUAAGCACCGGCUAACUCUGUGCCAGCCGCCGCCGUAA
rnacentral:rRNA from 1 species